rnacentral:rRNA from 1 species
GACGAACGCUGGCGGCGUGCUUAACACAUGCAAGUCGAGCGGUAAGGCCCUUUCGGGGGUACACGAGCGGCGAACGGGUGAGUAACACGUGGGUGACCUGCCCUCAGCUCUGGGAUAAGCCUGGGAAACCGGGUCUAAUACUGGAUAUGACUCCAUGACGCAUGUUGUGGGGUGGAAAGCCUUGUGCGGCUGAGGAUGGGCCCGCGGCCUAUCAGCUUGUUGGUGGGGUGANGGCCUACCAAGGCGACGACGGGUAGCCGGCCUGAGAGGGCGACCGGCCACACUGGGACUGAGACACGGCCCAGACUCCUACGGGAGGCAGCAGUGGGGAAUCUUACGCAAUGGGCGAAAGCCUGACGCAGCGACGCCGCGUGAGGGAUGACGGCCU